rnacentral:lncRNA from 1 species
ACUACAAGAAAAAUGGGUUUUAAUAGUAGACCGGAAUAGCGAUUUUUACGAUUGUGCUAUGUUUGAUAUACCCGUUAGUUUUAGAUAGCGUUUGUAUAUUUGGAAACGCUAUGAUAGAGUGAUAUAUUUGAAAGCGCUAUGAUAACAUAUGGUUUUAUAUGUAACACUUGGGUUUAAUAGCAAAACAUGACUAAAAACGCUAUGUUUGGUUUUUGAAUCCAAAUCCUAAAACAAGUUUUUAAACCAUAAACUCUAAAUACAAACUUUAAACUCUAUUUUAACAUCAAAUCAUAAAUUUAACUUGAAAUGUUAGAUAUAAACUCAAAAAUUAAUUUUUUUUCCAAAAUAUUAUCUCAAAUCUUAAAAUCAAUACCUCAAACCUUUAACUUUUAAACCCUAUACUCAUACAUUUAUUCUAAACUCCAAACUCUAAAUACAAAUUCUACAAGUAAUUAAAAACAUCUCAACACUAAACCCUAAAGCAUAAAACUAAACCUUAACUUUCAAACAGUAAAAAAUUUAAACCACCAAAUUCUAAAUCCUAAACAUAUAAACUCUAAAGCAUAUCAAGUUUUUAAACCUUCUAAAUAUGAAUUUUAAAACUAUAAUAUACUCAUAGUAUAACUUCCAAACACACAAACUUUAAUUCUUCAGUCAAACUCUAUACCCUAAACCCUAACACCAAGCAUAUAUAAAACCAUAAAUUUACUAAAUAUAAACUUCGAACUAAAUUUUAAUUAUUUAACAAAUUUCAAAUCUAAAUCUUAAUCACAAAAUAUUUAU